rnacentral:misc_RNA from 1 species
GAUAAUUUUGACUUCACUCUUCUUGGUCUUUGAAGAAUCCAUCUGCUUGUCCUUGUCCUCGAGGAGUAACAAUGGAGUAUUUCUUCUUCCAGAUGAGGGAGAAUUUGGAGCAAUUCUGUACUUAUGCUUUACCUUUAUCAACUUUCCAUUUGCAGUCAUAUGCUUUAGUUUUGUUGAAAGAAGUUUUUUAAGGUUUGGCGGGGCCCAG